ensembl:lncRNA LINC01539 long intergenic non-protein coding RNA 1539
AUAGAUGAAUAGAAUGAGCAAAAGUUGCAGCACAGCGUGUCACCAGAGAGGAAAAGAAUAUCCUUGCUGUGCCAAGAAAGAAAAGACCAUGGAUCUACUAGUUGCAGAUUUCAGCAGUAAUGCCAAGGGGGCAAGAAGUGACCAGCAGAACAAUUAGGCCAUGGCAACAGAAGCCAACUACAACCCAUGUUCCAAUCUAUGACCUCCCUCUCCUGCUGGUACAAGGAUAUGUAUUCCUUAGAGCAAAGGAUGCAAUGUCAAGCAAGUUGUGAUACCUCAACUAUCUACAAUUUAACACCAAGGAAAGAACACUGUUUGGAGAAAUGAGAAAGAUUAUCAUCAGUGUCUUUCAGAAGUCAUCAAAAGAAGAAAAGGAGAAAAGAGAGGAGAAAGCAGAAAGAUCUGGAGUCUGGGAAGUUCAAGAGCAUGGCACCAACAUCUGGCAAGGGCUUUCAUUCUGCAUCAUCUCAUGGAGGAAAAUAAAAAGGAGGCUGGAUGCUCCUGUGAAGUACGUCUUUUAUCUACUUGCUAUCUUUGCAAUUCCUUCAUGCUACAAUGAGAGAUAGAGUUUAAACCUGAAAACAUUCUUGGAAAAGGAAUCUUCAUUAAUUCAAAUAUACCACAAGGUUCUGCCACUGUGGCCAUCACCUGGGAUUGGAGAAAGGCAAAUGGAACAGACCAACUCAGAAUUACAGUCCUCAUUUAUUUCAUCAGAGGUUGGCCUGUACUUACAUUAGCCCUUUCUGGCUAGAGCUUCAUGUCUCACCCACUGUCUGUUCACUUCUGACCUGAAACAAUGGGACUGCAGAAGAGAGAAGGAAAAUAUCUGGUGGUCAGGCUAACUCUGUGUACCCCAUGAUGAAGAUGUUUUCCAUAGGAGUUCAUUGUCACAGUGUCUUCCAGAGUCCUCACGAGUAUCAGAGAAGGCAUAAUCUGUACACGUGGCUUCAUUUAAAAUGAAAAUAUCAAGCAGUGUCAUUUUCACAAGUAUCCCCACACUGUCUGAGGCUGAAAAGAAGAGUGUAGCUAUGCACACUGCAGUGAGAAGAAAAUUUCAGCUCAAUUGGAGGAUGUAAAGAUUGAAAUACCACUGCUCCUAGUUCUGAUGCAAAAUUGAAAAGAGUGCACUGGGUCUUCAAAUGGCAUAUUGACAAGGAGAAAGAGGAAAGGAUGCCCCAGGACAGCCUGGGGGUCAAGGCUGGGCUCAGGCAUGCCUGGACAAGCCAUGCAAGUUGUCUCCGGACUUGAACCACGUAUCAGAGGAGCUAUUUGAGGAGCCACAUCAGCAUACCUGCUUCUGUGGGCCCCCAGGCUGUGGUGCUCAGCCCUUGCACUAUGAAACAUUUUUUUUUUCCAGAAGCCAAAGCUUUGAGCAUCUCCUCCCAUGUAGAGAGUGUAUAUGUUUACGUCCAUGUCUUUCGCCAUGUGAACGCAUGCAACCACCACCUCAAAUAUCAUAAAUCCUCUCUCUCCCCCUUUCUGUCUGCCUGUUUAUCUACAAUCUGUCUAUUUAAAUUCUUUUUAAACAAGAAGGGAAUAUCUUUAUGCCUGUUUGUAGGGAUAUUCUACAUCCAUCUGUUAUUUACAUCAUUCGUUUUCCUGAGGUGUCUCCAACAAAUCCUGGCUGGAUGCACUGUAUGUGUUAUUAAUAAAACAGCUGUAAAAAUA